rnacentral:rRNA from 2 species
UACCAGCUGGCUGCAACUGUUUAUUAAAAACACAGCACUGUGCAAACACGAAAGUGGACGUAUACGGUGUGACGCCUGCCCGGUGCCGGAAGGUUAAUUGAUGGGGUCAGCGCAAGCGAAGCUCCUGAUCGAAGCCCCGGUAAACGGCGGCCGUAACUAUAACGGUCCUAAGGUAGCGAAAUUCCUUGUCGGGUAAGUUCCGACCUGCACGAAUGGCGUAAUGAUGGCCAGGCUGUCUCCACCCGAGACUCAGUGAAAUUGAACUCGCUGUGAAGAUGCAGUGUACCCGCGGCAAGACGGAAAGACCCCGUGAACCUUUACUAUAGCUUGACACUGAACAUUGAGCCUUGAUGUGUAGGAUAGGUGGGAGGCUUUGAAGCGUGGACGCCAGUCUGCGUGGAGCCGACCUUGAAAUACCACCCUUUAAUGUUUGAUGUUCUAACGUGGACCCGUAAUCCGGGUUGCGGACAGUGUCUGGUGGGUAGUUUGACUGGGGCGGUCUCCUCCUAAAGAGUAACGGAGGAGCACGAAGGUUGGCUAAUCCUGGUCGGACAUCAGGAGGUUAGUGCAAUGGCAUAAGCCAGCUUGACUGCGAGCGUGACGGCGCGAGCAGGUGCGAAAGCAGGUCAUAGUGAUCCGGUGGUUCUGAAUGGAAGGGCCAUCGCUCAACGGAUAAAAGGUACUCCGGGGAUAACAGGCUGAUACCGCCCAAGAGUUCAUAUCGACGGCGGUGUUUGGCACCUCGAUGUCGGCUCAUCACAUCCUGGGGCUGAAGUAGGUCCCAAGGGUAUGGCUGUUCGCCAUUUAAAGUGGUACGCGAGCUGGGUUUAGAACGUCGUGAGACAGUUCGGUCCCUAUCUGCCGUGGGCGCUGGAAGACUGAGGGGGGCUGCUCCUAGUACGAGAGGACCGGAGUGGACGCAUCACUGGUGUUCGGGUUGUCAUGCCAAUGGCACUGCCCGGUAGCUAAAUGCGGAAAAGAUAAGUGCUGAAAGCAUCUAAGCACGAAACUUGCCCCGAGAUGAGUCUUCCCUGAGACUUUGAGUCUCCUGAAGGAACGUUAAAGACGAUGACGUUGAUAGGCCGGGUGUGUAAGCGCAGCGAUGCGUUGAGCUAACCGGUACUAAUGAACCGUGAGGCUUAACCUUACAA